GAAAUGCGAUAAGUAAUGUGAAUUGCAGAAUUCAGUGAAUCAUCGAAUCUUUGAACGCACAUUGCGCCCCCUGGUAUUCCGGGGGGCAUGCCUGUUCGAGCGUCAUUUCACCACUCAAGCCUCGCUUGGUAUUGGGCAACGCGGUCCGCCGCGUGCCUCAAAUCGACCGGCUGGGUCUUCUGUCCCCUAAGCGUUGUGGAAACUAUUCGCUAAAGGUGUUCGGGAGGCUACGCCGUAAAACAACCCCAUUUCUAAGGUUGACCUCGGAUCAGGUAGGGAUACCCGCUGAACUUAAGC
rnacentral:misc_RNA from 1 species